rnacentral:lncRNA from 1 species
ACAGAUCCAAUGUGUGUCUUCCUUGUGGACUUCAAGAGUGGUUCUAGCUUGUCCUUGGGGUGUAGAGCAUAGGGGAGGUGUAGGAAGUACUGAUGAAUAUUUCAAUAUAAUUCAAGCUGAAUGAAAGCACAGAGAAAACAUAUCACUGUGAGAGGGUAUAGAGAAUUUGCUUUGAGACCAGGCAAACUUUAGCAUCAUUUUGAACUGAAGAUC